rnacentral:tRNA from 1 species
GGGAAUAUGGCUUAGUGGUAGAGUGCUUGCCUAGCAUGCAUGAAAUCCUGGGUUUGAUUCCUCAGUACCA